GAGAAGGAUGUGGCUUGAAAGGUUAAAGGAACUGAGGAGCAACAAAAAGGACUCUAACGAACUGGACCUCGUAAUUUCGCAGCUGGAGAAUGGAGCGACCUUCUCCCCGUACCAGCUGUUCAGCAUGGGAAGACGAUGUGUCAUUCCCACCCUAGGCGCAGUUCUAACUUACGUCGUCAUAACUCUUCAGUUCCGGCAAUCGGAAGAGGACCAACCUUCGUGAUUGUGUGUGAACAGAACAUUUCAAAAUCUCAAGUACGUUGGAGACUGCUCUCUACGUCAGCUUUCUGAUUAAUUUAAUUGUUUUUAUUCUUUUUACAUAUCUGCUUCACUUCAUUCUCUCGUAAUUCCUUUGGUACCACUACAAUUGUCUUUUUAUCUCUUGCUCCGUCAGCUUCUACAUCCUUUUAUAAUUUCCGUUUUCUUUUAUCUUUUUAUUUUCGGUACCUGCUUCACUCUCUCGUAAUUCCUUCGAUUACUCUGACUGACGACGUUCUCAUUUUAUUUCUUGCUUGUACGCUUUCGUUUACUCUCUUUCUCUUUCUUUCUCAGCGCAAGCAUAAAUAUUCAUUUUUUUUCUGUACGCAGUUUCAAAUAAACAGCUUUCCAUUUUCUAUGUAAUUUGUCCGGAACGGCGUCUUUGUUCUCUGUCCACAUUUUUGUCUCAAUCUGAAGUAUGUCUUCGACUGUGAAGCUGAAAGUUUACUUAUUAUGCAGAUUCGUUCUUUUAACUAAGACGAGGAAAGACACAGGUGCUUGUAAAUUGUAACAAUAAUAAAGGAAGUAAAUGUA